AGAGUUUGAUCCUGGCUCAGGAUGAAUGCUGGCGGCGUGCUUAACACAUUCAAGUCGAACGGGCUUAGACGAAAGCUUGCUUUUGUCGAAAGCUAGUGGCGGACGGGUGAGUAACGCGUGAGCAACCUGCCUCUGUGUGUGGAAUAACAUCGGGAAACCGGUGCUAAUACCGCAUGAUAUGUGCUUAUUGCAUGAUAGGCACAUCAAAGGAGCAAUCUGCACAGAGAUGGGCUCGCGUCUGAUUAGAUAGUUGGUGAGGUAACGGCUUACCAAGUCGACGAUCAGUAGCCGGACUGAGAGGUCGAACGGCCACAUUGGAACUGAGAAACGGUCCAGACUCCUACGGGAGGCAGCAGUGGGGAAUAUUGGGCAAUGGGCGCAAGCCUGACCCAGCGACGCCGCGUGAGGGAAGAAGGUCUUCGGAUUGUAAACCUUUGUUAGCAGGGAAGAAGAAAGUGACGGUACCUGCAGAGAAAGCCACGGCUAACUACGUGCCAGCAGCCGCGGUAAUACGUAGGUGGCAAGCGUUAUCCGGAAUUACUGGGUGUAAAGGGUGUGUAGGCGGACUUGCAAGUCAGAUGUGAAAACUCGGAGCUUAACUCCGAGCCUGCAUUUGAAACUGUAAGCCUUGAGGACAGGAGAGGUAAGUGGAAUUCCCGGUGUAGAGGUGAAAUUCGUAGAUAUCGGGAGGAACACCAGUGGCGAAGGCGACUUACUGGACUGUAACUGACGCUGAGACACGAAAGCGUGGGGAGCAAACAGGAUUAGAUACCCUGGUAGUCCACGCCGUAAACGAUAAAUACUAGGUGUGAGCGAACAAUCUUUCCUGCCGGAAUUAACACAAUAAGUAUUCCCCCUGGGGGAGUACGGCCGCAAGGUUUGAAACUCAAAGAAAUUGACGGGAGCCCGCACAAGCAGUGGAGUAUGUGGUUUAAUUCGAUGCAACGCGAAGAACCUUACCAGGACUUGACAUCCUAAGGAGAUUGGGUAAUGCCGAUUGUGCCCUUCGGGGAACUUAGAGACAGGUGGUGCAUGGUUGUCGUCAGCUCGUGUCGUGAGAUGUUGGGUUAAGUCCCGCAACGAGCGCAACCCUUACGGUUAGUUGCUACGCAAGAGCACUCUAGCCGGACUGCCGUUGACAAAACGGAGGAAGGUGGGGACGACGUCAAAUCAUCAUGCCCCUUAUAUCUUGGGCUACACACGUACUACAAUGGCGCAGAACAAAGGGCAGCGACCCCGCGAGGGCAAGCGAAUCCCAUAAAAUGCGUCCCAGUUCGGACUGGAGGCUGCAACUCGCCUCCACGAAGUUGGAAUUGCUAGUAAUCGCGAAUCAGCAUGUCGCGGUGAAUACGUUCCCGGGCUUUGCACUCACCGCCCGUCA
rnacentral:rRNA from 1 species